UGGGGAAUAUUGCGCAAUGGGCGAAAGCCUGACGCAGCGACGCCGCGUGAGGGAUGAAGGUUUUCGGGUCGUAAACCUCUGUCAGAAGGGAAGAAACUACGUUGUGCUAAUCAGCAGCGUACUGACGGUACCUUCAAAGGAAGCACCGGCUAACUCCGUGCCAGCAGCCGCGGUAAUACGGAGGGUGCAAGCGUUAAUCGGAAUUACUGGGCGUAAAGCGCACGUAGGCUGUAGUGUAAGUCAGGGGUGAAAUCCCACGGCUCAACCGUGGAACUGCCGUUGAUACUGCACUACUUGGAGCCGGGAGAGGGUGGCAGAAUUCCAGGUGUGGGAGUAAAAUCCGUAGAUAUCUGGAGGAACAGCAGUGGCGAAGGCGGCCACCUGGACCGGUAUUGACGCUGAGGUGCGACAGCGUGGGGAGCAA
rnacentral:rRNA from 1 species